GGACUUCCCAGGAAAACGACAGUGUCCGGAAGCCUCUGCAAUGCCCUCUUAGGAUUGUCCAAGAAGAUGGCGAAACAUUUGCAGGCAGCGAUAGGAGUUGAGGGAAUUAGAGACGGGGUUUCGCCAUGUUGGCCAGUCUGGUCUGGAACUCCUGACCUCAAGUGAUCCGCCCUCCUCGGCCUCCCAAAGUGCUGAGAUUACAGAAGAUCUGCAGUCAAAUUUACCCAGAGGAUCCCAGGCUCUUAGGACUUGACAGGUCACCCACAGUAAAGCUAUCAUGUCAUGAGGACACUCAAGCAGCUCUGGGAGAGACCCCCUGUGGCUAGAAGCUGUGGAUUCUCACCAACAGCCAUGCAAGAUUCCCCAGCCCCAGUCGAGCCUUCAGAUGACCACAGCCCCAGCUGAUAUCUUGACUGCAAUAUCAUGAAAAACCAUGUGUCAGAACUGCUCAGACAUGUUGCUCCCAAAUUCUGGACCUGCAGAAACCAUGAAAGACAAUAAAUGAUUAUUGCUGUUUUAGGUCACUAUGUUUUGAGCUAACUUCUUACACAGCAAUAGAUACUAAUGCAUAUUUUAACCAGUUUCCUACAUUAAAACCUUUCUGUUGGAAAGACCUGGAGUGUGUUUUAUUUUUCUGACUGAUACAAACUCCUGUCCUGAAUUGUAAACCAAGAGUGAAAAAAUAAGAAAAAAGAGUAAAGAAGAUGGAAUAUCUAAAUACAGUCAUGUGUUACUUGAUGACAGCAAUACAUUCUGAGAAACAUAUGGGUGGCAAUUUUGUGGUUGUGCAAACAUCACAGCAUCUACUUACACAAAACUAGACAGUAUAGUCUGCACACCAAGGCCAUAGGGUACAGCCUAUUUCUCCUAGGCUACAAACCUGCACAGCAUGUGACUGUACUGAAUACUGUAGGCAAUUGUGACACACAGGCAUUUGUGUAUCUAAACAUAGAAAAGGUAAAGUAAAAAUAUGGUAUUAUCAUUUCAAGAGACCGCUGCUGUAUAUGUGGUCCAUCGUUGACUGAAACAUUGUCAUGUGGUGCACGACAGUAUUAUAAGGAUGACUUAUAAGUGAAUGUUGGGAAUGUGGCUUAUAGAUGUAGCCAAAUAUGGUUGCACAGAAUACCGAAGCACGGAAUUACACAUACCGAGCCGGUUUUGUGAUUUGCCCUCACAGAUACUUCAGGAUGAGAGUGGGCUUCUGUGGGCAGACCCUGAUCAUAUAAAACUAUGGUAGAAGGGGACAGAAGAGCUGGUUCCCAAGAGAAAGGGGAGGGGAAGUGGCUGGGUAAAGCAUGCCCAGUUUGUCCUUCCAAACUGAGCAUUCAGAUUAAGCUAAUUCUGCUUCCAAAGGAGGAGUGAGCAAGGCCAUGGGAAGACAUCAUGAGAGUUAUCCUAGGAGAACUCAGUCUGGCUUAAGCUAAAAAGGGGUAGAUGUUCAGGUAUAGCUGAAUCCAGGGGCUUAAAGGAUGUUAUCGGGCUUGGUGCGGUGGCUCACGCCUG
rnacentral:lncRNA from 10 species